AGAGUUUGAUCCUGGCUCAGAAUCAACGCUGGCGGCGUGCCUAACACAUGCAAGUCGAACGGGAAAGUGGAGCAAUCCAUGAGUAUAGUGGCGACCGGGUGAGUAACACGUGACUACCUGCCCUUGAGUGGGGGAUAACCUCGGGAAACCGAGGCUAAUACCGCAUAACAUCGCAAGAUCAAAGGAGCAAUCCGCUUUUGGAGGGGGUCGCGGCUGAUUAGCUAGUUGGUAAGGUAAUGGCUUACCAAGGCGAAGAUCGGUAUCCGGCCUGAGAGGGCGCACGGACACACUGGAACUGAAACACGGUCCAGACUCCUACGGGAGGCAGCAGUGGGGAAUUUUGCGCAAUGGGGGAAACCCUGACGCAGCAACGCCGCGUGGAGGAUGAAGCCCCUUGGGGCGUAAACUCCUUCGACCGG
rnacentral:rRNA from 1 species